CACGUAAGGGGCGAGCGUUGUUCGGAAUUAUUGGGCGUAAAGGGCGUGUAGGCGGCUCAACAAGCUUGGUGUGAAAGGCUACGGCUUAACCGUAGUUAUGCGCUGAGAACUGUUGGGCUUGAGUUUUGGAGGGGGAGCUGGAAUUCCAGGUGUAGGGGUGAAAUCUGUAGAUAUCUGGAAGAACACCGGAGGCGAAGGCGAGCUCCUGGCCAUGAACUGACGCUGAGGCGCGAAAGCGUGGGGAGCAAACAGG
rnacentral:rRNA from 1 species